CAGUAGCGGGAAACUUCAUGGAAGUAGAAGCAAGGUGUGUUCCGUGGAAAAGGAAUAGUUAUAUUACGAUUCUUUUUUUGGUUAAUUUCUUAAAUACCAGUGAUGGUUUUAGCUCCUGGUUGAUGAGGAACAAGCUCUUACGGUGAGUUCACAAGGCAAGGUUAAAUAAAGGAUUGUGAACCAUCAGUUUGAGAGACCAUCAUUUCAACCGGGGACGCUACAGUAACGGGCAAAGUUCAAAGAAUGUCCAUCACAAAUGCUUACUGCCAGAAAAUCUCACAAUGACAAAUUUCAAAUGUCAGAAUAAAUCAUGCAAUGCUUCCAGACUGUCCAUCUGGACAACUUCAGGUACAUCUCCUCUACCAUUUGAAGCCUCCUACCCUGGUUUGCCAGCAUCUUGCUUACCUCCAAUAGAAGUUUAAGAAGUGCAUGAAAAUUGGUGGGGCUACUGCAAAGGAAAAAAUUGACCAGCAGAUUCUUAACCAAUGCGCUAAUGUGUAAAUUUAACAUGAAAGGAUUGAGAUGGGAGAAAGCAUCUUUUGAGAAGACAGCACUUUGUAAAUUAAUAAUUGACAGUGUGGUAAAGAGCCAUAGGGUUACAGAAGCCUUUGUUCACAGCUUCAUUGCCAGCAGACUAAGAAAUGCACCAAAGCGUCAAGGAAGACCAGACAUGCUAUAAUUAUUAUUGUAGCGAGUGCUAUGGUUUGAUUUAGACAGUUAUCUAACUGGUCACGAGUGUUUCGUUUAUUUUUUAGUGCCAAAUAUUGUGGCAUGUGUUAGUAUUAUGCACUACACCCAAUUGUAAUGUGCAUCUCAUUUAGUUUGUUUUGAAGUAUAUCUAAAUAAAUCCAUUAUAAUUGAA